ACAUUUGUUAUAUAUAAGGAAACUGAGUCAGAUAGAGAGAAAGAGAAAGAUACUCGAACUGAGAAAGAGCAAUUAGUGAGUGAUGGAUUGUGUUCGCUGCAAAUCAUCAGAUCCAUGGCUAUACUCUUCUUCUCCACAAGCCGAAACAUCUGACGAUAAAGCCGGAAUCCAAGAUGCGUGGGCUCAGAUCUCUACCCGCGGAUCACUUGUCGUCGACGGCGGCGGCGAGAAUCGGAAGAAGCUGGAGAAGAAGAAGAGCCUUGUGUUACUGGAAGGCUACGUAGAGACUCUUGCCUCGUUGGAUAAUCAAGACGAUCAUCUCACGAGAUCCAAGAGCUUAACCGAUGACGAUCUCGAAGAUCUCAAGGGUUGUCUGGAUCUAGGCUUUGGUUUCAGCUACGACGAGAUCCCUGAGCUCUGCAACACUUUACCUGCCUUGGAGCUAUGCUAUUCCAUGAGCCAGAAGUUCUUAGAUAACCGGUCACCGGAAAGUUCGUCGGUGGACGACUCUCCGUCGCAUUCACCGGCAACGCCCACCCCGAUUGCCAAUUGGAAGAUUUCUAGCCCAGGUGAUAAUCCGGAUGAUGUGAAAGCUAGACUCAAAUACUGGGCACAAGCAGUUGCCUGUACCGUCCAGUUGUGCAGCUGAAUGAGACUAGGAAUUAUAGUGAAGAUGUUUUUUACAUGAACAGCAUCUCAGCCAUUGUUAGCUGAGGAAGAGAUCUCGGAAAGGCAUUGUGAAGUGAUGAGAGAGCCUUCUGUUUUCUUAACGAGCACUCACUUUACCUGACUGGUCAUGGACCUACUGAGGUAACUAAUCUAACUGACCCGAGCGUGAUGUCACUAUGACUAUUCUCUUUCCCAAAAUCGUCUCGUGUAAUGAAUGUGUUAAGCUACACGUCUAAAGCUGAUUACUUGAGAGAGAUGAAAGCUGGAUUGUGUGGAGUGGUUUGGGAGACCUGUGUUUAUGAAAGCUAUCACUAACUGAUUAUGGACCUCUACUUGUUGAGGUAAUUAAUCUUAACUUGGUAACUGGGUCUAUAACCUUCUUUAUGAAGGUAGUGGCAUUACUACUAUCCUCUUGACUCAUUCCAUCUUCGUGAAUGUGUGUUGACGCUUACAAGUAGAUAAAUGCAUUUCAGAUGUUUUAUUUCA